CUUUAAGCCUCCGCGUUCUGAAUUAUCGUUUUUCUCUUUCAGUAUCUUCCAGACACUGCUAGCCUAAUCGAGUAACACUGCCAACCAGAAGCUUGAUUCGCGAUAAUUGUGAAGUAUUUAUUAAUUAGACACGAAUAUACGCGGCGAUGCUUGACGUUAAAUGGAGUUAAAUUGAAUUUUAUAAAUGCUCGAGCGUGUUUCGUUUGUUAUUGCUUUCUAACGAACGCUACGUUGAGUCAUCUCGACAAUGUGAACUGUGGAAAUGUUCUUGAAAUUCCUGUUGUACGAUUUCGUUAUCGGAUUGCAGAUUUUAUACAGUUACAACGCUCGUAAACGUGCAACGAGGAAUGUUGCCAAAGCAAAUAACCGUUUCACGUGGAUUACAGUGGACAGCGAGUUUCGCGUGCGCCAUUCACAUUUAUCGUGAAUAGGAAAAGAGAAACGUUACUAUGAUAAAGGAUCAUUAAGUGGGCAGGCGAAUCAGAAUAAGUGUUAAUAAUUUUCUUUCGGGACAAGUAUAGUCCACAGUGCAGGUAUAAAUACAGGUACAAGGUUUACGACCGUCAUCGACGACUUUAUUUUUAAUUCCUCGCGCGGCAUCGAAAUGAAAAGGAACCGCGAGAAAGAGAGAGAGACAGGGAGAAAAGAAGGGGAAGAAACAUGAGAAAUAUGUUACGGUUCCAUGGAUACCGACGACCCAAUAUUUUAUACACAUUCUAUAAAUACGGCAAGGGA